rnacentral:rRNA from 1 species
UACAGAGGGGGCGAGCGUUAAUCGGAAUUACUGGGCGUAAAGCGCACGUAGGCGGCUUGGUAUGUCGGGUGUGAAAUCCCCGGGCUCAACCUGGGAACUGCAUCCGAAACUGCCUUGCUCGAGUAUGGGAGAGGGAAGUGGAAUUUCCGGUGUAGCGGUGAAAUGCGUAGAUAUGCGGAGGAACACCGAUGGCGAAGGCAAUCCCCUGGACCUGUACUGACGCUCAUGCACGAAAGCGUGGGGAGCAAACAGG